UUUAUUAGAAGAGACGCAUUUAUUAGAUAAAAAGCCAGUUCAUGCUUUUACAGUAUGAAAAUUGGUGAUUUAUAAUAACUUAGCAAAUCGCAAAGUGAAAACAGGCGAUAAAUCAUUCAAGUUUCUGACCUAUCAGCUUUCGACGGUAUGGUAUUGGCUUACCGUGGCAGUGACGGUUAACGGGGGAUUAGGGUUCGAUUCCGGAGAGGGAGCCUGAGAAACGGCUACCACAUCUAAGGAAGGCAGCAGGCGCGCAAAUUACCCAAUUCUAACAGUUUGAGAGAGGUAGUAACAAGAAAUAACAAUACAAGGCAGUUAAAAUGCUUUGUAAUUGGAAUGAUAGAAAUUUAAACCCUUUUUAAAGUAUCAAUUGGAGGGCAAGUCUGGUGCCAGCAGCCGCGGUAAUUCCAGCUCCAAUAGCGUAUAUUAAAAUUGUUGCAGUUAAAAAGCUCGUAGUUGAAGUUCUGCUGAAAGUAACCGGUCUGCUUUUAAUAAAAGUGGUAUCUUGGUAUGUAUUUAGCAAUGAUGUCCUUUGAAGUGUUUUUUACUUUAUUGUAAUAAAGCAUAUUCAGGACUUUACUUGAGAAAAUU
rnacentral:rRNA from 1 species